UACGUAGGGGGCAAGCGUUGUCCGGAUUUAUUGGGCGUAAAGAGCGUGUAGGCGGUUAGGUAGGUCCGUUGUGAAAACUCGAGGCUCAACCUCGAGACGCCGAUGGAAACCCCCUAACUAGAGUCCGGAAGAGGAGAGUGGAAUUCCUGGUGUAGCGGUGAAAUGCGCAGAUAUCAGGAAGAACACCCGUGGCUAAGGCGGCUCUCUAGUACGGUACUGACGCUGAGACGCGAAAGCGUGGGGAGCGAACAGG
rnacentral:rRNA from 1 species